rnacentral:ncRNA from 2 species
UCGCCGUACCACCUCCAAGCCCCCUUGCCUGGGUUCGUCCGCGGAUACGGCAACGGGGCCGUGGCAUCGGCCGCAAGGCCGCUGCCACCGGGCCGGAUCCGGAAACGGGCCGGCCUCCCGCGUUUGGACUGGAGCGACAACAUGGCAACC